CACUAAUCCCAUUACGCCAUUUGAACUCAAAUCCAAGGAAAUGAGAUUCUGACCCAUUACCUACUGGGGCCCAGGACACUUAGGCGUGAGGCUUGUUGGUUGUUGCGAUUGAGUACCCUUCUGUGACAGGCCAUCAACUCACGCCGAAUUCGCCCAAUGCCCCCAGCUCCUGCCCAGUGUAAAACUCCCUCGAAGGCCCUAAUUUAUUUCCUCACCGUGGCCUCACAGACCCUCAUCUAAUUUUCCUCUAGCCAGCAACCCAUUCCUUAAUUUCAGCCCUCUACCUUUUAAAUUUUUAAGAAAGGCACCCCUAUUAAGCCUAAUAUUCCCCAGUUCCGUAGAUAGUGCCCCUAUAUCUGCCAUUUGAGCCUCCACAUCCAGAGAGGACAAAGCUCCAAAUCUGGAACCUUCCAAAAUUUCCCCUGAAAUUUUUGCUUUAAGACAAGAUUUUUGUCCUAUUUACGCCGGGAUUUAAGUUCGACCACUAUUCACGGAUCGAAGACUUAGCCCGUGGCCACCAGAGCUUCACCCAUCUUCGUCAGGACUGAAUCAUUGACUGUCAAGCUUGUAGAAUUCUCUCCGCCGCUGUGACUGCUUCAAUCUAUCUAAGAAGAAGUACACAAACUUUUAAGGAAUCCCGGCAGAGUCGGAAAGCUAAUCAGGCUAAUACCCCAUUCAGGAAAGGUCUCGAUGGGUCAAAGCCCAUCGUCCAUAGAUGAACUGUGAGAUGGUGCCUAAACACUAUCCAGGGACUGUAGGUCAGCGCCACUUCAUAAUCAACCAUGCUCUGGAAUCUUACUAGAUCAAGAACCAAAGAAAUCGGAUUUAGAUCGGGGAAAAACGAAAGUUGUUGACUAGCCGCUCCGUUCCGUUUUAUAUCGUCUGAGGAAAUCCCCAAGCUUAGACAGAUCGAGGCGAUGGAGGACUUAGUAGUGGCCACUCAACCUAGUUAUUUCCUUUUUUUUUAUAAUUAAGAUUUUAUAUUGGGUUUUUAUUAUAUAAUAAGGCCGCUUUAAUUUUUACUUAAAUUGGGAGAUUUAAUUAGAUUAUUUAUCUAAUUAUUUUAUUUUACCUGUUAAUAAUAGUACAUUGAUUUUCAUGAAAAUACAAA